rnacentral:rRNA from 1 species
GACGAACCGAGCGAACGUUAUUCGGAAUCACUGGGCUUAAAGGGUGCGUAGGCGGGCACGCGAGUCAGGGGUGAAAUCCCACGGCUCAACCGUGGAACUGCUCGGUAUACUGCGGGCCUUGAGCCAGCUAGGGGCAACCGGAACAAACGGUGGAGCGGUGAAAUGCGUAGAUAUCGUUUGGAACGCCGAUGGUGAAAACAGGUUGCUGGGGCUGUGCUGACGCUGAGACACGAAAGCCAGGGGAGCGAACGGG